AUACGGAGGAUGCGAGCGUUAUCCGGAUUUAUUGGGUUUAAAGGGAGCGUAGGUGGGAUAUUAAGUCAGCUGUGAAAGUUUGGGGCUCAACCUUAAAAUUGCAGUUGAUACUGGUUUCCUUGAGUACGGUACAGGUGGGCGGAAUUCGUGGUGUAGCGGUGAAAUGCUUAGAUAUCACGAAGAACUCCGAUCGCGAAGGCAGCUCACCGGGCCGGAACUGACACUGAUGCUCGAAAGUGCGGGUAUCAAACAGGAUUAGAUACCCUGGUAGUCCGCACAGUAAACGAUGAAUACUCGCUGUUUGCGAUACACGGUAAGCGGCCAAGCGAAAGCGUUAAGUAUUCCACCUGGGGAGUACGCCGGAAACGGUGAAACUCAAAGGAAUUGACGGG
rnacentral:rRNA from 1 species